rnacentral:rRNA from 1 species
UAACCAAUCGUUCCGUAAGGAAUGGCUGGGGAAACCGGCGAACGGGUGCGUAACACGUGAGAAACCUGCCCUGGAGACCGGGAUAGCCCGAGGAAACUCGGAUUAAUACCGGAUACCCUCGUUGGACCGCAUGGUCCGACGAGGAAAUGGUCCGCCGCUCCAGGAUGGUCUCGCGGCCUAUCAGCUUGUUGGUGAGGUAACGGCUCACCAAGGCUCCGACGGGUAGCUGGUCUGAGAGGACGAUCAGCCACACUGGGACUGAGACACGGCCCAGACUCCUACGGGAGGCAGCAGCAGGGAAUAUUGCACAAUGGGCGAAAGCCUGAUGCAGCGACGCCGCGUGCGGGAUGAAGGCCUUCGGGUUGUAAACCGCUUUCAGGAGGGACGAAAAUGACGGUACCUCCAGAAGAAGGCCCGGCCAACUACGUGCCAGCAGCCGCGGUAAUACGUAGGGGCCAAGCGUUGUCCGGAUUUAUUGGGCGUAAAGGGCUCGUAGGCGGUUUGACAAGUCGGUCGUGAAAGCCCGGGGCUCAACCCCGGGACGCCGGUCGAAACUGUCAUGACUAGGGUCCGGUAGAGGUGAGUGGAAUUCUCGGUGUAGCGGUGAAAUGCGCAGAUAUCGAGAGGAACACCAUUAGCGAAGGCGGCUCACUGGGCCGGUACCGACGCUGAGGAGCGAA